CGUGAGGGAUUGUAAAGAUGUG
rnacentral:miRNA from 1 species